GACGAACGCUGGCGGCGUGCCUAAUACAUGCAAGUAGAACGCACAGUUUAUACCGUAGCUUGCUACACCAUAGACUGUGAGUUGCGAACGGGUGAGUAACGCGUAGGUAACCUGCCUGGUAGCGGGGGAUAACUAUUGGAAACGAUAGCUAAUACCGCAUAAUAUUAAUUAUUGCAUGAUAAUUAAUUGAAAGGUGCAAUUGCACCACUACCAGAUGGACCUGCGUUGUAUUAGCUAGUAGGUGAGGUAACGGCUCACCUAGGCGACGAUACAUAGCCGACCUGAGAGGGUGAUCGGCCACACUGGGACUGAGACACGGCCCAGACUCCGACGGGAGGCAGCAGUAGGGAAUCUUCGGCAAUGGACGAAAGUCUGACCGAGCAACGCCGCGUGAGGGAAGAAGGGUUUCGGAUCGUAAAGCUCUGUUGUAAGAGAAGAACGGGUGUGAGAGUGGAAAGUUCACACUGUGACGGUAUCUUACCAGAAAGGGGCGGCUAACUACGUG
rnacentral:rRNA from 1 species